GUGUCCCCACGGGCUGUCCCCGUCCCGGAGGAGGCAGCGGAGCGGGGCCAGGAGACGCUGGAGCGGCUGCUGGCCUGGGUGGCCGACAUGGAGGAGCUGGUGAGCAACCAGAAGCCGCCGUCGGCGGAGGCGAAGGUGGUGAAGGCGCAGCUGGAGGAGCAGAAGGUCAGCAGGGCCGGCCGGCGGGUCCUGCCCACGCGUGCCCCGUCCGGGAUUAGGGGGCCGGGGUUGGAGCGGCCGCCCGGGGCUGUGCCGAGCCGGGAGGGGUGCACGGGAGCCCCCGGCACAGCGCGGUGUCCCCGCAGCUCCUGAAGCGCCUGCUGGAGGAACGGAGGCCACGCGUGGAGCUCGUCCUGCAGGACAGACUGACGGCACAGGGCUCUGGCACCGCCGCGCCCGAGGGCAGCGCCGGCCUCCUCAGCCUCGGCGAGAGGUGGGACAAGCUGAUGCAGGAGGCUGAGGCCAGGUACGGCUGCCUGGAGCGGAUCCUGCCCGCAGCCCAGGGCUUCCAGGAGGCCGUAGACGCCUUCCAGGAGUGGCUCGGUGCCACAGAGCGGCAGCUGGCCCAGCUCUGGCGCGCUGACGGCUGCGUCGGCCGCGUGCAGGACGCCCACCAGCAGACCCAGGUGGGCACAGGGUGGGCGCGGGGUGGGCGCAGGGCGGGCACGGGCACCUGUGUCAUCACUGGUCACUGCUGCAGGCCCUCUGUGAGGAGAUCCGUGGGUGGCUGGGAGAGCUGGAUGGUGCCCUGGAGAGCGGACAGCGGGUCCUGGAGAUGGUGACAGGGGAGGAGGCCCAGCUGACACAGGAGAAGAUGGAAUCGCUGAGGAUGAGGUACCUCAUCGUGGGCCAGAGCAGUGCUGACACCGCACACCGGCUGGGACAGACCCUGGAGGCCUCGUCUCGCCUGGGCACGGCCCCUGAGGACCUGGCACUGUGGCUGAGCCGCAUGGAGAAGGAGCUGGGCGAGCAGGAGAGCCAGCAGGAUGGCCAGGAGCCCUCAGUCACUGCCAGUGACAGGGAGAAGUUUGAGCAGGUCCUGGAGUCCCAGCUCAGCCGUGUGGCUGGGCUGGGUGAGCGACUGGAGGAGAUCGGCCGCGUGCAGCUGGAUGCCGAGGCUCUGCGCUCGCAGCUCUCCGAGCAGAAGGUGGGUCUGCAGCAGCGUCCAGGGCUGCCGGGGGCACUGCCUUGCUGUCCCCAUCCCACCGGCUCCUGCCGGGACCCGGCACCCACCUGCGGCUCCGUUGCAGCUGCUCUCCGCCGAGAUCCUGCACUGCCGGGGCCUGGUUGAGCGUCUGCUGAGCUUCUCGGAGCCGCUGCUGCGCUGCUGCCCCGAGCCCCUGCGGCAGCGCCUUCAGGUGAGCCGGGAGGGCGCCGGGGGGACGUGGCCAGCGCCCAGGGACGGCUGUGGCCCGUGUCCCCGGCCACGCGGUGACCUCUGUCUCCUCAGCCGUCCGUGCAGGCGCUGCGGGAGCGCACGGAGCAGCUCUCCCUGCGCAGCGGAGCCUGUGCCGUGCAGCUGGAGCACGCCCAGUCCCUGCUCACCCAGUUCUCCGAGGCCCUCGAGGAGCUGCUGCCCUGGCUGGAGGAGACGCAGGCCCUGGGCGUGCAGCUCUCCCCCAACGCCAUCAGCUACGAGGCCUUCAAGGAGCAGCAGGCGCUGCUGCAGAGCCUGCGGGAGGCCAUCGCCGAGCACCGGCCGCUGGUGGGGAAGCUGCAGCGCGUGUCGGCGCAGCUGCUGGAGCUGA
ensembl:lncRNA